GGCUCUGUAGUGAAGUUCAUAGUGAGUUGCAAGCUCAUUGAUGCGCAAUAAUUUUGUGCCGGAGCCU
rnacentral:tRNA from 1 species